rnacentral:rRNA from 1 species
GAUGAACGCUGGCGGCGUGCCUAAUACAUGCAAGUCGAGCGAACAGACGAGGAGCUUGCUCCUCUGACGUUAGCGGCGGACGGGUGAGUAACACGUGGAUAACCUACCUAUAAGACUGGGAUAACUUCGGGAAACCGGAGCUAAUACCGGAUAAUCUAUUGAACCGCAUGGUUCAAUAGUGAAAGACGGUUUUGCUGUCACUUAUAGAUGGAUCCGCGCCGCAUUAGCUAGUUGGUAAGGUAACGGCUUACCAAGGCAACGAUGCGUAGCCGACCUGAGAGGGGGAUCGGCCACACUGGAACUGAGACACGGUCAAGACGCCUACGGGAGGCAGCAGUAGGGAAUCUUCCGCAAUGGGCGAAAGCCUGACGGAGCAACGCCGCGUGAGUGAUGAAGGUCUUCGGAUCGUAAAACUCUGUUAUUAGGGAAGAACAAAUGUGUAAGUAACUAUGCACGUCUUGACGGUACCUAAUCAGAAAGCCACGGCUAACUACGUG